UACGUAGGGUGCAAGCGUUGCCCGGAUUUAUUGGGCGUAAAGGGCGCGUAGGCGGCUCUGCACGUUCGUUGUGAAAUCGCCCGGCUCAACUGGGCGGGGUCAGCGGAUACGGCAGAGCUUGAGCAAGCUAGGGGGCAAUGGAAUUCCCGGUGUAGUGGUGGAAUGCGUAGAUAUCGGGAGGAACACCAGUGGCGAAGGCGGUUACCUGGAGCUUUGCUGACGCUGAUGCGCGAAAGCGUGGGGAGCGAGUCCGG
rnacentral:rRNA from 1 species